GACGAACGCUGGCGGCGUGCUUAACACAUGCAAGUCGAACGAAGUGGCGAACGGGUGAGUAACGCGUAAUAAACCUGCCCUUCAGAGGGGAACAACAGUUGGAAACGACUGCUAAUACCGCAUACGGAAGGAGGGGAUUGCGUCUGAUUAGCUAGUUGGAGGGGUAACGGCCGACCAAGGCGAUGAUCAGUAGCCGGUCGGAGAGGAUGAACGGCCACAUUGGGACUGAGACACGGCCCAGACUCCUACGGGAGGCAGCAGUGGGGAAUCGUCCGAGAUGGACGACAGUCGGACGGAGCAACGCCGCGUGAGUGAUGACGGCUUUCGGGUUGUAAAGCUCUGUUAAUCGGGACGCGGUACCGGAAUAGAAAGCCACGGCUAACUACGUGCCAGCAGCCGCGGUAAUAC
rnacentral:rRNA from 1 species